UGGGGAAUCUUGCGCAAUGGGCGAAAGCCUGACGCAGCAACGCCGCGUGCGGGAUGAAGGCUCUCGGGUUGUAAACCGCUUUCAGCAGGAACGAAAAUGACGGUACUUGCAGAAGAAGGUGCGGCCAACUAUGUGCCAGCAGCCGCGGUGAUACAUAGGCACCAAGCGUUGUCCGGAUUUAUUGGGCGUAAAGAGCUCGUAGGUGGUUCGGUAAGUCGGGUGUGAAAACUUUGGGCUCAACCCAAAGCCUGCAUCCGAUACUGCUGUGACUAGAGUUCGGUAGGGGAGCGGGGAAUUCCUAGUGUAGCGGUGAAAUGCGCAGAUAUUAGGAGGAACACCGGUGGCGAAGGCGCCGCUCUGGGCCGAUACUGACACUGAGGAGCGAAAGCGUGGGUAGCAAACAGGAUUAGAUACCCACGUAGUCCCUGAGCGGGCUGGCAAGGCGCAU
rnacentral:rRNA from 1 species